rnacentral:rRNA from 1 species
CGUGUAGGCGGAUUGGUGUGUCGGAUGUGAAAUCCCCAGGCUCAACCUGGGAACUGCAUUCGAAACUGCCAGUCUUGAGUGGUGGAGAGGGAAGUGGAAUUCCUGGUGUAGAGGUGAAAUUCGUAGAUAUCAGGAGGAACACCAGUGGCGAAGGCGGCUUCCUGGACACCAACUGACGCUGAGACGCGAAAGCGUGGGGAGCAAACAGGAUUAGAUACCCUGGUAGUCCACGCUGUAAACGAUGGGCACUAGGUGUCGCGGGUUUUGACCCCCGCGGUGCCGUAGCAAACGCGUUAAGUGCCCCGCCUGGGGAGUACGGCCGCAAGGCUAAA